AUUUAUAGCAAUGGAUGCAAUGGGUGAUUGGGUUUUAGCUCGGGUUUUAGACUCAAGGAUAGCUCAAAGAAUGAUGUACUAUCUGGUGAGAGUCAGACUCAGUCUGGUCUAGACUGUCUAGUACAUAAAUAGCUGGAAUAUUAUGUAUAUAUACAUAUAAUGUUAUAAGUGAUAUAGAUCUAGAUCUUGAUUCCCGGCCACGAGGAGUUUGAAGCAUUGAACUUGAAGUAACACUAAGAUUAACAGUUGAAUUUUACUAAUAGAAUAUAUAUCCUUUGUCAUUUGAACAUUAUUUCUUUUCAAAAUUUUCACUUAAUUGUUUGUUGGCUGAAAGCACAAAAA